AUGAAACCACGUGAUUGCCCUCCUCUUCCUCUCCCUUUACAGGGAUUCACCAGAGGAAAGCAGUCUCCUUCAUUUCCCUUCCCUCCCUCUGCACACACUCUCUGUGGACUGGGAGGUGAGAAGUGGACUGGUGAUGCCGAUUACUGGGAAUUUCCCCAAAGAACAAGAAGAAACGAUCUCUUAUUGACUGCUCAAGAAGGAAGCUUACUGCCAGGUCCUUGAGGUCUGCCCUCUACAGAGAAGAAGCACUGCUUGAGAGACACUCAGAGGAGUGGCAGAUUCAAGUCUAGACUCUACCCUAAUCAACUGGUGGCCGUGGAUGGGUUAACCAGGGAUGGCUGCAUGAUGUAGUGGUGAAAAUCAGACUUACAGUCAGACAGACCUGUGUUCUAAUCCUGACCCUGCCUCUUAUUAACUAUAUAAAUGUAGACAAAGCCUUUCUAAGCCUCUUCUCCUCAGGUUUAUUAUUUCCACCAAAAAUGGUCUUUUCUUUCCUCCUACUCCAACAGAGAAACUGCUUCAAACCUGUUAUGAGUCCAGAUCUGCUUCCCAAGCACCUGCCUGGCUGAGAAGUUUAGUUUGUACUGGGGACCACUUGUUUAUUGUGCAAAUAAGGCCAAGCUAUUUGCCCAAGGCCCUACCUCAGCAGAAUUUUAAACUCUGUAAUCCCUUUGUGGGAAUUCCUGGGAGUAAAUACAAUUUAUGUGUAUCUAUUUCAUCAUUGGCUGCUUGACCUGCUUUAUAUAGCUUUCUAUCUCAGUAACUCAGCCCAGUCCAUCAUAUCUAAUAUAUUCAUAGCCAAGUUACAAAAUAUUCUCUUGCUGCUGUCCUUGACAUAUCUUUUUACUUCAGACUUAGCUGAUUCUCUCAAAUGAGUAUCUAGGGCCAGGAAAUAUAUACUGAGAUUAUCAGGACUCAGUUAAAGCUAAUGGCAAUGGCAAUUCAUUGCCAUUCAUUCAUUGAUUUAUCAAACACAUUUUUUGAGCACCUACUAACAGCUACUUCAUUCCAGUCACUGUGCUAGACACUGAGGAUACAGAGAUGAAAGGUGUGGCCUCUGCCUUUAGCUUGUGCUCGGCCCAAUGUGAGGCUGCAUGAUGUAGUGGUGAAAAUCAGACUUAUAGUCAGACAGACCUGUGUUCUAAUCCUGACCCUACCUCUUAUUAACCAUAUAAACGUGGACAAAGCCUUUCUGAAAUCGGGGGCAAACUUGCUUUAACUAUACUCAGUUGUCUGUUUGCAAAAGUAGUUAGAUACUGCAUUACCAAAUCCCACCCUGUAGAUAACAUCUCUGACACUUGGGUCACCAUGGUAACAGGUGCUUAUGAUUUUCUGAACUGAGAGUUCUGAACUGAGAGUUGACUCCUUGUCCAGUUCAGUUCAGUUAAGACCACCAACUCAUCAACUGGGCCUGUGCAGAUAGGUGACCGAUAGGUGACCCUUUGACAUCAGUGGGUCAAAAACUCUACUCUCAAAUCAUGCUAAUGCCACCAUUUUGUGAACAUGCUUCCCGUGAAGUUUGACUGUGCCUGCAUAGAUCAUCAGCGACGUCACUCUUCCUUACCUCCAACAAUCUAUUCCCAUACUUCAGACCAUCCUGCCCCUCUAUCCUAUAAAUAUCAUUAAUCCCCAUUUUGGGGGAGGCAGACUUGAGAUUUUUUUUUCUCCCUUCUCCUCUCCCUUGUGAAAAAACUCUUUCUCUGCUGCAAACUCAUUGUCUAGGUGAUGGGCAUGUCAUCUGGCAGGUAAAAUGACCCUGGUUUGGUAACAUUUCUAAGCUUCAUUUUCCACAUCUAUAUAAUGGGAAUAAUAGUCCUAUUUCACAAGAUCGGUGUGAUAAUUAAUGACGUAAAGUAUAGUACCUGGAAUGUAGUAAGCACUCAAUAGAUAGCAUCUAUGUUAUCAUUGUCAUCAUCUUCCUGGAGACAGUCAAGUGAAACAAUUGCAACAUCACAUGUCACGUACGAAGAUAGGGAGAAGGUACUAUGAGAGCAUAGUCUGGGUUGGUGAUGAGGAAAAAGACUUCUAACAGGAGAGGAAUUGAUACCAAGCUGAGCCCAGAAGGGUAAGUAGCAUGAAGUCAGGCAUGAGAAGGCAUUCUAGGAAGACAGACUAAGAGCAUCUACAAAAGCCUGGAGGCAAAAAACAGGCAGGCACUUUGAGAAAAUCGCAAGUAGUUCAGCAUGUCUGGAUCUUGGAAUAUAUAUAGGGAACUGAUGGGAGAGCUAGCGAGGAAGGGAGGGACCAUGCUGGCAUCCUUGCAUUUGGCACAGGGCCUUGUACUGCUGGUCUUCUACCACUGCUCCUCCCGUUGAAAUACCAGGCGAGCGCAUGGUUGUGGGGACCAUUGCACUUGGCCUUAGGCUUUAAGGAUAUGUUUCUUUCAGUUUUCCAUUUCUUCCUAUGCCAGUCACGUAGGUAUCAUAAGGGAGGAACAGGGCUCUGAUAUGAUCUUCAGGAGUUUCCCUAAGAGGUGUGACCCACCCUCUAAUACCAGACGAGCCUAUAAAUUCAUUCAACUCCAGAGAAUGCUCUAUUGGGUAGGAGGAAGGCCUUAUGUCUAGGAGAGCUGGAAGAGGAAAGGAAGUAUCAACUAGUGUUCAGCUACUGCAGAAACCAUUUCUAUGGCCAGUGUCUCUUUUUCUCACUGAUGGGUUUGACCUAGCUACAGCUUAGAAGGAUAAGCUUUAAACUUGCUACAAUGUCCUAUAAGCAGGUUUAGUCAAAUCAAGUCAACAGCCACUAAUUACGCGUGUACUAUGUGUCUAGGACCCUGCUAGGCACUGUAGAGAAAGACUAAAGCAGUGUACUGAGACUCAAAGGGGUUACCUAAAGGCCAAGUCUGUAGUUAUAAGCCGGUAGGCACAGCAGAACCAGAAACCCAGGUCUGCAAGACUCCAGAGUCCCUGCUCUUUCUGAUAUAUUAUGCUGCUCUUUGGGCAUUAAGCAUGACCAAUUUAGCUCAGGAAGAGCUAGGAAAUAAAGUACAAAUCAUGCCAAUCA
rnacentral:lncRNA from 1 species